rnacentral:rRNA from 1 species
AGUGAACGCUGGCGGUAGGCCUAACACAUGCAAGUCGAACGGCAGCACAGUAAGAGCUUGCUCUUACGGGUGGCGAGUGGCGGACGGGUGAGGAAUACAUCGGAAUCUACUUUUUCGUGGGGGAUAACGUAGGGAAACUUACGCUAAUACCGCAUACGACCUACGGGUGAAAGCAGGGGAUCUUCGGACCUUGCGCGGUUGAAUGAGCCGAUGUCGGAUUAGCUAGUUGGCGGGGUAAAGGCCCACCAAGGCGACGAUCCGUAGCUGGUCUGAGAGGAUGAUCGGCCACACUGGAACUGAGACACGGUCCAGACUCCUACGGGAGGCAGCAGUGGGGAAUAUUGGACAAUAGGCGCAAGCCUGAUCCAGCCAUACCGCGUGGGUGAAGAAGGCCUUCGGGUUGUAAAGCCCUUUUGUUGGGAAAGAAAAGCAGCAGGUUAAUACCCCGCUGUUCUGACGGUACCCAAAGAAUAAGCACCGGCUAACUUCGUG